rfam:Glycine max cultivar Williams 82 chromosome 8, whole genome shotgun sequence.
AUACUUACCUGGACGGGGUCAAUGGAUGAUCAAGAAGGUCUAUGGCCUAGGGAAGUGACUUCCAUUGCACUUUGGAGGGGUGCUUUCCUAAGGUCUGCCCAAGUGGCAGAGCCUACGUCAUAAUUUGUGGUAGUGGGAGCCUGCGUUCGCGCGGCUCCCUA